GAUGAACGCUGGCGGCGUGCUUAACACAUGCAAGUCGAACGGAAAGGCCCUGCUUUUGUGGGGUGCCCGAGUGGCGAACGGGUGAGUAACAUGUGAGUAACCUGCCCUUGACUUUGGGAUAUCUUCAGGAAACUGGGGCUAACACCGGAUAGGAGCUCCUGCUGCAUGGUGGGGGUUGGAAAGUUUCGGCGGUUGGGGAUGGACGCGCGGUUUAUCAGCUUGUUGGUGGGGUAGUGGCUUACCAAGGCUUUGACGGGUAGCCGGCCUGGGAGGGGGAACGGCCACAUGAGGACUACGGUACGGACCAGAGUGCAACGGGGGGCAACGGUGGGAAGUAUUGCACAGUGGGGGGGAGCGUGAUGAGGAGGCGCCGCGAUCGGGAUGACGGCCUUCGGGUUGUAAACCGCUUUCGGCUGUGACGAAGCGUGAGUGACGGUAAUGGGUGAAGAAGCACCGGCUAACUACGUG
rnacentral:rRNA from 1 species